AAGACCUUGUGCUAUACGAGCGGCCGAUGUCGGAUUAGCUAGUUGGUAGGGUAAAGGCCUACCAAGGCAACGAUCCGUAGCGGGUCUGAGAGGAUGAUCCGCCACACUGGGACUGAGACACGGCCCAGACUCCUACGGGAGGCAGCAGUGGGGAAUUUUGGACAAUGGACGCAAGUCUGAUCCAGCCAUGCCGCGUGAGUGAAGAAGGCCUUCGGGUUGUAAAGCUCUUUUGUCCGGGAGCAAAUUCUGUCCGCUAAUAUCGGACGGAGCUGAGAGUACCGGAAGAAUAAGCACCGGCUAACUACGUGCCAGCAGCCGCGGUAAUACGUAGGGUGCGAGCGUUAAUCGGAAUUACUGGGCGUAAAGGGUGCGCAGGUGGUUAUGUAAGCUUGAUGUGAAAUCCCCGGGCUCAACCUGGGAAUU
rnacentral:rRNA from 1 species